rnacentral:tRNA from 1 species
UGGUCUCUUAGCUCAGUUGGUUAGAGCGUGGUGCUAAUAAUGCUAUGACACGCCAAGGUCGCGAGUUCGACCGUAUGUAUACCUCCCAACCAC